GUAGAUAUAGUUUAAUAAAAAACAUUAGAUUGUGGUUCUAAAAAUGGAAGUUAAAUUCCUCCUAUCCACC
rnacentral:tRNA from 1 species